rnacentral:rRNA from 1 species
ACUCCUACGGGAGGCAGCAGUGGGGAAUUUUGGACAAUGGGCGAAAGCCUGAUCCAGCAAUGCCGCGUGUGUGAAGAAGGCCUUCGGGUUGUAAAGCACUUUUGUCCGGAAAGAAAUCCUUGGCUCUAAUACAGUCGAGGGAUGACGGUACCGGAAGAAUAAGCACCGGCUAACUACGUGCCAGCAGCCGCGGUAAUACGUAGGGUGCGAGCGUUAAUCGGAAUUACUGGGCGUAAAGCGUGCGCAGGCGGUUUGCUAAGACCGAUGUGAAAUCCCCGGGCUCAACCUGGGAACUGCAUUGGUGACUGGCAGGCUAGAGUAUGGCAGAGGGGGGUAGAAUUCCACGUGUAGCAGUGAAAUGCGUAGAGAUGUGGAGGAAGACCGAUGGCGAAGGCAGCCCCCUGGGCCAAUACUGACGCUCAUGCACGAAAGCGUGGGGAGCAAACAGGAUUAGAAACCCCUGUAGUCCCAUG